AGGGUUCUUUUCCCAAGCAAGAUCCGUCCCUGAGUCGCCACAGCUUGUCAUCCUACACAAAGAAAUCCUUGCCUAUUCCUUUUUCCCUUCAUUCUUCAAUGGCAGUAUCCAAUUUUUAUCUGGUCAUUUGAUGGCUUCGUUUAUAUUCUAAUUUUCCUUUGCAGUUUCUUUUUCUGUACAAAGCUAGAAAACCCUAAUUGAAAAUGGUCACUGCAACUGAUUCUUCAUCUGAUCAUCGCUCGCCGACUAGUGCUGGGGAUACCAAUAGCCCUAAAUUCCCGCGAAAAAACCUGCCAUCUCCGUGGGCUCAAGUUGUACGGGGUGGGGAGUGCGAAUCUCAUCCAUCGCCGCCUUCAUCAUCUUCCUCUUCGUCAUCACUCACAGCCUCCGUGCCCGACCAACCGCCAUUCUCUGAUUUUCCUCCGAAGGAAGCACCUUUAACGCAGCUGCCGGAUAAUUCUAAUGUUGCUGCGGUAGAUAACUCCGACGCUUCCGACGCCAAUGCGGGUCAUUCUAAGAGGCCCGCUUGGAGCAAACCUUCGAACGGCGUUGUCGAGGCUGGUCCAGUAAUGGGUGCUGUUACUUGGCCCGCAUUAUCUAAAUCCACGAAGGUUUCGUCCAAAAUGUCAGCUGACUCCUCCUCUAAGACUGCCUUUGACGGAUCACUUUCCCCCUCUCAGGGCUCUGGCACUUUACAAUCCCCUCAAAAGCAACCUACUAAUAAUGCAAAGCCUAACUCUGCAACAAACUAUGCUGUGCAUCAUAGACAAAGGUCAAUGAAGCGUGGAGGUAGCAACAGCCCUGGGGUUGGUCAUGCUCAGAGCAGCUUUUCUAAUCCUCCCCCACCUCCCCCACCACCGCCCUUUCCUGUAUUUCCUAUACCGGCAAAUACCUAUGGUAAUGUGGUGCCAGGGGUUUCAGAUCAUUCUCCAAGGGAAAUCCCUUACAGGAACAAUAGCUGGGAUACAAGACCACCAGUUGGGGGUUUUGUGCCUGCUGUGAAUGAUCAUUGGAAUCCCCCCCGCAGAGGCAAUUUCGGGCCCCAUCAACGUGGGGAUGGAUCCUAUCAUAAUAACCACGGGGGUAGGCGUGACCAUGAUCGUGGAAAUCAUGCAAACUCUAGAGAUGCUCAAGUACACCAACAGAGGAUGUCUCCUAGGGGAUUAGUGAGGCACCCCCCUCCUAAUACUCCUGCAUUUGUUGCCCCUCCGCCCAUGGGACCCUUUGCAAACCCCAUGGGUUUUCCAGAAUUUUAUUAUUUCCCAACUCUACCACUAGAGCCGUUCAGGGGCAUGCCAUUCAUUACUCAUGGUCCUCCUCCUGCCAUGUUUCUCCCUGUUGCAGAACCUCCUCUGACAAAUAUGCUAAUGAACCAAAUUGAUUAUUACUUUAGUGAUGCUAAUCUAGUGAAAGAUGAUUUUUUAAGAUCCAACAUGGAUGAACAGGGUUGGGUUCCCAUUGCUUUGAUAGCAAACUUCCGUCGGGCAAUUGGUUCUUUGUUUAACAGAGAUAACAGGGAAAGAUACACAGUGUGAUUGAAGAGGGAUGAAAAUUCUCUGGCAGUUCUCUUAAUGUAGAUGCCAAACCUAACUAUCAAUCCUGACUAAGAUUUCUUUGUUUCAGGAAGCAGCUGUGUGCUAAAAUAUUAGGAUAUUAUUUAUUUGUGUCCUUAAUCUUGAACGCACCCCCUCCCAGUGGCGGGAAAAAAGUCCUGGGGCAAAAUUUCACUAGAAGAAAUCAAAUCAUAUCAUAUCAAAACACCUCUAAAGAACAGCUUAUAUCCAGUCCAUUAUUGUGAUAAAAGUAUCUUUCAGGAGUCCGUUUGUGUAUUGAUCUCACUGUAAAAUCUUAGUAGUCUUAAUUCCUUCUUGCACAGUUUGUUUUUUUCUUCACUUGGAUCUGUUUUGUAGGUUAAAAGUUUGACAAACAACAUUCAGGUGAUACUGGAUUCAUUGAGAAAUUCUGCGGUUGUGGAAGUACAGGGUGACAAGAUGCGGAGGCGUAAUGAAUGGACAAAGUGGCUGCCCUCAUCUCAGCUUCGAGCUGAUUCUGGUUCAUCAUCUCCUGUUGGAUCAAGCUGCAAUAACGUAGCAACUGAUUUUCAAAAGAUUGCUCUGGGUGAAGCUGCUACAGAUAGAGGUAAUUCAGACCCUACGUCAGAAGCUCUAGAAGAAAGAUCUCCAACAGAUUCUUCCUGUCAUCCUCUGCUUCCAACCGAUGAUACUUCAGGGAACACCAAUUAAGAC